AUUUUGAACAAAAUACAAAAUUAAACAUUGAAUCGAUAAAUGAGCAGCAUUCGGUAAGUAAAUUAUAUUUCUACCUAUAUCUAUAUUCCAUUAAAUUAAGUGUAUAAAUUAAUUAUGCAAAAUAAAGUGACUUUUGGGAGGGUUCUGGCUGGUCAGAGGAAGGCUUCAGCCGAACCCGCGAAUGCAUCCUUAUGAUUAAUAAAGUAUGGGAUAUUAAUCUGUAUUUUGAAAGAGACAUUAAUGCACAACACUCAUCAGGAAGUCGAAGCAGAGCCCCGCAGAAUCUAACAAAGAACGAGCGGGUGCCACUCCUGGGGAGAUUUAUGCGGAAACUUUAUUCAUAAUGUGUGAAAAAGUGUAUACUUUGUGCAAUUUUGCAUUUAGAAAGGGUACAAAUACCUAAACAAAAGUUCGAUUAACAAUUCGAAGAAAAGCCAUAAGGACCUCCCACUCCACUCCUUCCCUUUAGUCGCUCGGAAUUUAAGCUCAAAGCAUUUGAUGUUCAACCAAAACUCAAAGGCGCAAAAAUGCGUUUCAUAAAAAACUCCCAGAAUUUGUCUAUUCAGAAGUAAUUUCCAAGAAUUCUCCGACGUUGCAUGGAAUACGAAUUAUUUAUUCAUUUAUGUACAUGGAUUCAUGGCCAUUGACAUGAUGUUUGGAAUGUCAGAAUAAAACUAAAGAACUUAUAGAUGGGCAUCGUUAUGCCUGUCACAAGAUAAAUCCCACAUUCAUGUUGUAUUCUGUAAUUGUCGGCAAUUAUCCAACAAGUGAGAGGGGAUUAAAAAGUAUGAAAUCAAAUUUGAGCAGCGGCAAAAACAGAAGCGGAAAAACUUGAUAAUUUCCAUCGGUGGAAAGCGUGGAAAGUGUGGAAAGUGCGGAGAAGACCCAUCCUCUGGAUGCUUUUCCUAUCUCUCUGUCUUAUUUCUCCUUGUCCUGAUUAAUGCGCCAGUGGCAGCUUCAUGAAUUUAUGAAGUUCAACCAAGGGAAGGAGCUCUUGCCAUCGCCCACUCGUUCUCUCCAUAUCUUUGUUGUACUCGCUGACUGGCUAAUGGACAGCCGUUGGCGCUGGUCAGAAGGCCCACAGCCCACAGCCCACAGAGU
rnacentral:lncRNA from 1 species